rnacentral:lncRNA from 1 species
AAAUUCUGUCAUAGAAUUGGCAAUUUGUUGAGGAGUGACUUGGCACUGGUAGCAAUUAUUGCCUCAUGCAAUUUGAUCUCGUUUUCCUGUUGCUUCUCGAAGAUGAGUCGCGUAAGGUGGCUUCAUUAAAAGAAAUCGAGAGGAUUCAAAUGCAGGUGAUUGUCAGGAUACAGAAUAUUUGGACUAUUUGUUCUGAUCCACCAUUGGGGAAACUCUUCAUUCCAGAUAUAGGACAACAUGGCCACCAUUAUGUGCUGGUGCUCCUUCUUGAAGAAACCACAUAUUCUCCUAUUGUGACAUAAAAGAACAAUAUGAAUUAUUACUUGUGCAUUGUUUUUAAUGAAAUUACUGUAACAACAAAAACCUAAAAAUAACAGAAACACUGAUGGAACAAUUUCAUGUAACAUACCUGAUUUCCCACUUGUCGAAUUGCAGGUAAAAUGCGAUCAUGUAGUUAAGACAGAUAUAUGUUUUGUGUGAGUCG